UCCAGGGUACCUAGUGGACAUGGCAUCUGUCCGGUAAGCGGAACACUGUGGGCUCGAUUCCCAUCCCUGGAC
rnacentral:tRNA from 1 species